GAAACAGUUGCUAAGACUGGAUAGGAAAUUAGAAGGCAUCUUUUAAUUAUUUAAAAGACCUUUUUCGAAAGGUAUGCUUAAAGAAGGGCUUGCGCCACAUUAGUUAGUUGGUAAGGUAAUGGCUUACCAAGACGAUGAUGUGUAGCUGGACUGAGAGGUUGAACAGCCACAUUGGGACUGAGACACGGCCCAAACUCCUACGGGAGGCAGCAGUAAGGAAUUUUUGGCAAUGGAGGCAACUCUGACCGAGCGACGCCGCGUGAACGAUGAAGUACUUCGGUAUGUAAAGUUCUUUUAUUGAAGAAGAAAAAAUAGUGGAAAAACUAUCUUGACGUUAUUCAAUGAAUAAGCCCCGGCUAAUUAUGUGCCAGCAGCCGCGGUAAUACAUAAGGGGCGAGCGUUAUCCGGAAUUAUUGGGCGUAAAGGGUGCGUAGGCGGUUUGGUAAGUCUGUAGUUUAAUUUCAGUGCUUAACGCUGUUGCGCUACAGAAACUACCUUACUAGAGUGAGAUAGAGGUAAGCGGAAUUCCAUGUGUAGCGGUAAAAUGCGUAAAUAUAUGGAGGAACACCAGAGGCGUAGGCGGCUUACUGGGUCUUUACUGACGCUGAGGCACGAAAGCGUGGGGAGCAAACAGGAUUAGAUACCCUGGUAGUCCACGCCGUAAACGAUGAGUACUAAGUGUCGGGUGUUAAAGCUCGGUACUGAAGUUAACACAUUAAGUACUCCGCCUGAGUAGUACGUACGCAAGUAUGAAACUUAAAGGAAUUGACGGGACUCCGCACAAGCGGUGGAUCAUGUUGUUUAAUUCGAAGAUACACGAAAAACCUUACCAGGUCUUGACAUAAUUUUGCAAAGUUAUAGAAAUAUAAAUGGAGGUUAUCAAAAUUACAGGUGGUGCAUGGUUGUCGUCAGCUCGUGUCGUGAGAUGUUAGGUUAAGUCCUAAAACGAGCGCAACCCUUGUCGUUAGUUGCUACCACGUUAUGGUGAGCACUUUAGCGAGACUGCCAAUGAUAAAUUGGAGGAAGGUGAGGAUUACGUCAAAUCAUCAUGCCCCUUAUGAUCUGGGCUACAAACGUGAUACAAUGGCUGUGACAAAGAGUAGCUGAAGCGUGAGUUUUUGGCCAAUCUCAAAAAAGCAGCCUCAGUUCGGAUUGAAGUCUGCAACUCGACUUCAUGAAGUUGGAAUCGCUAGUAAUCGCGAAUCAGCAUGUCGCGGUGAAUACGUUCUCGGGGUUUGUACACACCGCCCGUCA
rnacentral:rRNA from 1 species